rnacentral:rRNA from 1 species
UACGUAGGGUGCGAGCGUUGUCCGGAAUUAUUGGGCGUAAAGGGCUCGUAGGCGGUUUGUCGCGUCGGGAGUGAAAACUCAGGGCUUAACCCUGAGCCUGCUCCCGAUACGGGCAGACUAGAGGUAUGCAGGGGAGAACGGAAUUCCUGGUGUAGCGGUGAAAUGCGCAGAUAUCAGGAGGAACACCGGUGGCGAAGGCGGUUCUCUGGGCAGUAACUGACGCUGAGGAGCGAAAGCGUGGGGAGCGAACAGG